UGGUCAAGUUAUUAAGGGUGCAGGGUGGAUGCCUUGGCACUAGGAGCCGAUGAAGGACGUGAUAAGCUGCGAUAAGCUUCGGGGAGUUGCACGUAAACUUUGAUCCGAAGAUUUCCGAAUGAGGAAACUCACUUAGAGUAAUGUCUAAGUAUCAUUAAGUGAAUACAUAGCUUAAUGAGGGGAACUCAGGGAACUGAAACAUCUAAGUACCUGAAGGAAGAGAAAGAAAUUCGAUUCCGUAAGUAGCGGCGAGCGAACGCGGAUUAGCCCAAACCAAUAAAGUUUUCUUUAUUGGGGUUGCGGACAUAUCAUAACGAAGAGGUAUCGUAAUUGAAGAGGUUUGGAAAGACCCACCACAGAAGGUAAUAGUCCUGUAUGUUAAACGAGAAGACUUCAGAUAUGAUCCAGAGUACCACGGGACACGUGAAACCCUGUGGGAAGCAGGAGGGACCACCCUCCAAGGCUAAAUACUACCUAGUGACCGAUAGCGUAUAGUACCGUGAGGGAAAGGUGAAAAGAA
rnacentral:rRNA from 1 species